rnacentral:rRNA from 1 species
GACGAACGCUGGCGGCGUGCUUAACACAUGCAAGUCGAACGGAAAGGCCCUGCUUUUGUGGGGUGCUCGAGUGGCGAACGGGUGAGUAACACGUGAGUAACCUGCCCUUGACUUUGGGAUAACUUCAGGAAACUGGGGCUAAUACCGGAUAGGAGCUCCUGCUGCAUGGUGGGGGUUGGAAAGUUUCGGCGGUUGGGGAUGGACUCGCGGCUUAUCGGCUUGUUGGUGGGGUAGUGGCUUACCAAGGCUUUGACGGGUAGCCGGCCUGAGAGGGUGACCGGCCACAUUGGGACUGAGAUACGGCCCAGACUCCUACGGGAGGCAGCAGUGGGGAAUAUUGCACAAUGGGCGGAAGCCUGAUGCAGCAACGCCGCGUGCGGGAUGACGGCCUUCGGGUUGUAAACCGCUUUCGCCUGUGACGAAGCGUGAGUGACGGUAAUGGGUAGAGAAGCACCGGCUAACUACGU